AUUUUCCAGUAUGCGAUGGAAGAACCAGUGAAAUCUGCCUGUACCCUUUGUCCUGGUGGCCGAAGUGGUCCUGGUGGUGGACGCCAUCGAAGCAACGGCAAAACCGAAUCCAGAAAAUAUGCAUAGAAUAAAUUACACGCUCUACAAAGCAAAAUGCGAUAGCAGAAUCAGCGAAAUCUGCCUGUACCCUCUAUUGUGCCUUUGCCCGAAGUAUGAUGUGGACGGAUACGUCCGCACAAAGUACGACCGUUGGUACUACAAUACUACGACGAGUCGCUGUGAAAAUCGUACGGCUGUAGCAGGCGGCUGUAACGAUUUUGAGACCAGCGAACAAUGUGAGACACAUUGCUCCAACGCUACCAAACGAUCAAAUGCGCUUUGGUCUCAAGAACAACAAAAGGCUAUAUCGGCUAAGAAAUUUUGAAAGCGCUAUUCCUAGGAGCAGUUCCUGACACAUAACAAAAAAAGAAUUGUUUUGUGAGAUUAGUAAUUAAAUUUAUGAAUGUCCAACUGAACAUCUAAUUACUCUGCCACCAGUCAGCACCAUUGUUGCACAGAAAUAUUUCGCUAUUAGUAUUUGAAUGCAUGCAGAGAUUGUUUUUUUAUUGUAGUUGUUUUGAGCGAAGAAAAAAGUGCUUUCAACGUUGGUUCUGGAACGCGUCAUGUCGAACAACCGUCGAACAUGGAAGUGUAUCCAGCGAAAUGAUCAUAUGCAUAAUGAAGUUGCUUUUCGCUAGCUGUAUAUUUGGGAGUCCUGCACACAUGUGCACACACAGUGUGAAACCAUUUGGUAAAACGCGUGGUGCGUGACGUACCAUUGAAGUUCACGUGUGCAUUAGGACCCACCGUGACUGAAGGGGUUAUAUUGGACAACGUAUCAGUGUACAACAUUGAGCGUCUGAACCUGAUGAACGUAGAUUUGUUCCCUCAAGUAAUAAAAAAUUGGAAGU